rnacentral:misc_RNA from 1 species
UUUCCGUAGGUGAACCUGCGGAAGGAUCAUUAUCGUACAAUAUGUUAUGGGCAUUCUAGGACUGUCACUGACCCAGAAUGCGUUCACGCCCGAGUGUGUCCUCGUGCAUAAUAAUCCAUCUCACCCUUUGUUCAUCACCGCUUGGGUACCCUUCGUGAUCAUCUCGGAGGUUGGCUCUCGUUUUCACACAAACCCCCCUUUUAAAAGUGGAGAAUGACCACAUUUAUGCAAUCAAUACAACUUUCAACAAGGAAUCUAUUGGCCCUCGCAUCGAUGAAA